CCCCUUCGCAGGCGCGCGCGCGCCCACACACACACACACACACACACACACACACACGAAUGCAAACACACCUCCAUUAUUCCAUUCCGGUUCUUCCCUUCCCUAGAUGUCUUCCUUAUGUUUGUCUCCUCACUCUCAAACCCAAAGUCCCUCGGGCACCCCGAUUCAUGCUCUGAAGAGUGACAACUGGAUAUGGCACUAACAACAACAACAACAACAAUAAUAGCCACCACCAUCUGGAGAGCUUUACUCCAAGCCAACCAUGCGCUCUGUUUUAUAUAUAUUCUCCUGUUUAAUCUUCACAGCAGCAGCCCUAUGAGGUAGAAAAAUCAAGGCACAGAGAAGCUAAGAAAACUUGCCCCAAGGUCCCACAGCAGGAAGUAGCAAGAGCUGAGACUCAAACCCCAGCAGCGUGGCUCCUGAGCCCUCACUCUUACCCGCCACACUGCAGCGUCUGCCCUGCGACGGACAAAGAUGGAACCAGCCAUGUGAAAAGGCUGGAGUUCCAAGCUGGAGUGCAGUGGUGCAAUCUCGGUUCAC